rnacentral:SRP_RNA from 1 species
AGGGGGCAGCGCGGUCUACGAAAACUCCCUAAUCUAGCGGGCAAAUUUUUCCGCUAGAUUUAGCGUGAAAUUUUUUUUCCGCUAGAUGUAGCUCAAAUUUUUCCGCUAGAUUUAGCGGGGAAUUUUUUCCGCUAAAUCUAGCGGGGAAAAUUUUCCGCUAGAUUCAGCGGGGAAAUUUUUCCGCUAGAUUUAGCGGGGAAUAUUUUCCGCUAGAUUUAGCGGGGAAGUUUUUCCGCUAGAUU